GAUGAACGCUGGCGGCGUGCCUAAUACAUGCAAGUCGAGCGAACAGACGAGGAGCUUGCUCCUCUGACGUUAGCGGCGGACGGGUAAGUAACACGUGGAUAACCUACCUAUAAGACUGGGAUAACUUCGGGAAACCGGAGCUAAUACCGGAUAAUAUAUUGAACCGCAUGGUUCAAUAGUGAAAGACGGUUUUGCUGUCACUUAUAGAUGGAUCCGCGCCGCAUUAGCUAGUUGGUAAGGUAACGGCUUACCAAGGCAACGAUGCGUAGCCGACCUGAGAGGGUGAUCGGCCACACUGGAACUGAGACACGGUCCAGACUCCUACGGGAGGCAGCAGUAGGGAAUCUUCCGCAAUGGGCGAAAGCCUGACGGAGCAACGCCGCGUGAGUGAUGAAGGUCUUCGGAUCGUAAAACUCCGUUAUUAGGGAAGAACAAAUGUGUAAGUAACUAUGCACGUCUUGACGGUACCUAAUCAGAAAGCCACGGCUAACUACGUG
rnacentral:rRNA from 1 species